UAAUUGUGCCACCUUGUUCCUUGAGGU
rnacentral:piRNA from 1 species